UCAGUUCACACGUGGCGCCAGCGGAGGCAGGUUGCGGUGCUUGUGCUUCCUUCUACAGCCAACAUGAAAAGGCCUAAGUUAAAGAAAGCAAGUAAACGCAUGACCUGCCAUAAGCGGUAUAAAAUCCAAAAAAAGGUAAGUGUAGUGCUUGAGAGAGCUAUACCAAACACAUUGCUAAACUGAUUUUGCCCUGUUCCUUUGCGGGAAAGUCUGGGUUAAUGUGAUUUGGUUUUGGGAAAUGGCAUUGACUGACCAUGG
rnacentral:sRNA from 1 species